AAAAAUUUUAUAUUUUUAUUCGAGUCAAUUCAACUCAAUAAUUAUAAAAAACUAAAGUUAGAGGAGUUCAGCUCAACCCUGAAACCAUCAUUUAUAAAUUAUUUAAAUAUCAAAAAAACCUUUAUUUAUUAAUAUCAAGAACUUAAAUUAACACGGUUCCCAACAAGGUCCAUACUAUUGCUAACACAUGCGGAGUUCUAAAUAACAAAUUUAGAAAAUAAUAAUACAAAUAAAUAAUUAUUAAUAAACCUGCGAGGAAGGAAGAGGUUAUUUUGAAAAAGAACUCCUUCUGUAGCCUGGAAAAAUAGGGUGAACAGGAGUGAGCGUUUGACUCAGAGAGUAAAAUACCAAUUUUAAUCAUAAUCUCUAUAACUAUCUAAAGCUAAUGCACCCUGUAGAGUAAAAUGCAACAUCAGUAAUAUUUUC
rnacentral:misc_RNA from 1 species